CACUUUAGAUUCUAGCCAAUCAUUUUAUGUUUCCGACGAUAGUAGGCAGGCUCAGUUCCUCCUGUCCUGUUGCAAGAGCUCUGGCAUGUCACAAGUUCGGCUCAAAGCCCCCCUGAAAGCCCACACAAUCAGCUGCUGGAGUUUGUGUUUCCCCUUCUAGUUGAUGGUGAAAAACAAACUCUGAACUUUCAGCAUUUCUUUAAAACAGCAAAGUCCAAAAAGAAACCCCCCAAACCCACGAGGCAGCAC